rnacentral:rRNA from 1 species
GGAUUCGCGGCGGACGGGUGAGUUAUGCCUAGGAAUCUGCCUGGUAGUGGGGGACAACGUUUCGAAAGGAACGCUAAUACCGCAUACGUCCUACGGGAGAAAGCAGGGGACCUUCGGGCCUUGCGCUAUCAGAUGAGCCUAGGUCGGAUUAGCUAGUUGGUGGGGUAAAGGCCUACCAAGGCGACGAUCCGUAACUGGUCUGAGAGGAUGAUCAGUCACACUGGAACUGAGACACGGUCCAGACUCCUACGGGAGGCAGCAGUGGGGAAUAUUGGACAAUGGGCGAAAGCCUGAUCCAGCCAUGCCGCGUGUGUGAAGAAGGUCUUCGGAUUGUAAAGCACUUUAAGUUGGGAGGAAGGGCAGUAAGUUAAUACCUUGCUGUUUUGACGUUACCAACAGAAUAAGCACCGGCUAACUUCGUGCCAGCAGCCGCGGUAAUACGAAGGGUGCAAGCGUUAAUCGGAAUUACUGGGCGUAAAGCGCGCGUAGGUGGUUUGGUAAGAUGGAUGUGAAAUCCCCGGGCUCAACCUGGGAACUGCAUCCAUAACUGCCUGACUAGAGUACGGUAGAGGGUGGUGGAAUUUCCUGUGUAGCGGUGAAAUGCGUANAUAUAGGAAGGAACACCAGUGGCGAAGGCGACCACCUGGACUGAUACUGACACUGAGGUGCGAAAGCGUGGGGAGCAAACAGGA